UAAUAUAUCGGAACGUGCCCAAGAGUGGGGGAUAGCCCGGCGAAAGCCGGAUUAAUACCGCAUACGAUCUAUGGAUGAAAGCGGGGGAUCGCAAGACCUCGCGCUCCUGGAGCGGCCGAUAUCUGAUUAGCUAGUUGGCGGGGUAAAAGCCCACCAAGGCGACGAUCAGUAGCUGGUUUGAGAGAACGACCAGCCACACUGGGACUGAGACACGGCCCAG
rnacentral:rRNA from 1 species